AUGAGUUGGCGAGGAAGAUUAACAUGUAGAUCAAGACAAUAUUUACAGCCUGUUCAGCCGAUUGGGCCUCUGCUUGAGCCCAGUGUGCCAGAGCCUUAACAAGAGGAACCACAAGCUGAAAGUCAGAAUGGUACACCUGGUCAGAAGACAGAAGAAGAUCAGGGUGCAGCUGAGAUUCGAGCGCCUGACCUGGCAGCUGAUUUCCAGGAGCUGUCUCAGUCAAAGACUGGGGUAAAGGCAGAGAUGGUCCUGAUGUCCAGGGGAAGAUUCUGCCAAAAUCAGAGCAAUUUAAAAUCUCAUAAGGAG
rnacentral:lncRNA from 1 species